AGUGAACGCUGGCGGUAGGCCUAACACAUGCAAGUCGAACGGCAGCACAGUAAGAGCUUGCUCUUACGGGUGGCGAGUGGCGGACGGGUGAGGAAUACAUCGGAAUCUACUUUUUCGUGGGGGAUAACGUAGGGAAACUUACGCUAAUACCGCAUACGACCUACGGGUGAAAGCAGUGGAUCUUCGGACCUUGCGCGAUUGAAUGAGCCGAUGUCGGAUUAGCUAGUUGGCGGGGUAAAGGCCCACCAAGGCGACGAUCCGUAGCGGGUCUGAGAGGAUGAUCAGCCACACUGGAACUGAGACACGGUCCAGACUCCUACGGGAGGCAGCAGUGGGGAAUAUUGGACAAUGGGCGCAAGCCUGAUCCAGCAAUACCGCGUGGGUGAAGAAGGCCUUCGGGUUGUAAAGCCCUUUUGUUGGGAAAGAAAAGCAGCAGGUUAAUACCCCGCUGUUCUGACGGUACCCAAAGAAUAAGCACCGGCUAACUUCGUG
rnacentral:rRNA from 1 species